rnacentral:misc_RNA from 1 species
CCGUCCGCGUGCACACCAUGUCAGUUAUGCAUCAAGAUCUAUUCUUGUGCAACGAACGGAUUCCUGUGCAUGAUACCUAUUGUUAAGGUAUGACGCCUCUCGUUGACCCUUUCCUUCCUUGACCUAUGCGGUCAGGGAGGACAUUGUAGCGUUGCUUGUGCCCCCCGCAUUGUGCUUGCGCAUUGCGAAGGUUUGCAGGUCAUUGCUUGUAGCCUCGGAUUCAGUACGUUCGGUGGGCUUAGGGUCUUUGUACCCUCGUUGUCCGAAAUUCCAAGCGUUUUGUCGCUAGACAUGAACGACCGUCAUGCUCGUUCCGGGCUAUCCCGUGCGGGCUUGGCGUCGGCAAAGGA